GGGCCCGCACAAGCGGUGGAGCAUGUGGUUUAAUUCGAAGCAACGCGCAGAACCUUACCCAGGCUUGACAUCCUCAGAACCUCUUGGAAACAAGAGGGUGCCCUCUCACGAGGGAAUUGAGUGACAGGUGCUGCAUGGCUGUCGUCAGCUCGUGCUGUGAGGUGUUCGGUUAAGUCCGGCAACGAGCGCAACCCCUGUCGCUAGUUACCAGCAUUUAGUUGGGGACUCUAGCGAGACUGCCGGUGAUAAACCGGAGGAAGGUGGGGACGACGUCAAGUCCUCAUGGCCCUUAUGUCUGGGGCUACACACGUGCUACAAUGCUACGGACAAAGGGCAGCAAGUUCGCGAGGACAAGCAAAUCCCAUAAACCGUGGCUCAGUUCAGAUCGUAGGCUGCAACUCGCCUACGUGAAGUAGGAAUCGCUAGUAAUCGCAGGU
rnacentral:rRNA from 1 species